UUUAUACUAAGUUAACCAUAUGUUGAGGAGGUGGUGACCUUGGCGGUGUAGGUGGAAUCAGCGGUGGUAGCCAACACUGGUAUGUGUGUGUGUGUAUAUAUAUAUAUAUAUAUAUAUAUAUAUAUAUAUAGUUCCGCAGAGUAGUUGUUGACAUUAUAGUUGCGCAGGAACUUUGUUGACUCUAGAGAACUUGGGCAAAUCGCACAUCCCCGUGGCGGCGACUUUGCAUGCGGAUGUCAUCCAUAUCAACUUUCUAUGCCAGUUUCUGCACCUACCAUGGUGACCACGGGUAACGGGGAAUCAGGGUUCCAUUCCGUACAGGGACCUUUAGAAAUGGCUACCACAUGCAAGGAAGGCAGCAGGCGCGCAAAUGACCCACUCCUGACGCGAGAAGGUAGUGACGACAAAUAACAAUACAGGACUCUUUAGAGGCCCUGUAAUUGUAAUGAGUCCACUUGAAAUCCUUUAACUCUGAUCAAUUGGAGGGCAAGUCUAGUGCAGAGCAACUGACCUGUGCGUGCUGCAGCUGAAACUCCACU